rnacentral:rRNA from 1 species
CGUGCCUAAUACAUGCAAGUCGAACGGUCUUUCUAUGGAAGCUUGCUUCCACUGAGAAGAUAGUGGCGAACGGGUGAGUAACACGUGGGUAACCUGCCCAUAAGAGGGGGAUAACAUCCGGAAACGGGUGCUAAUACCGCAUAGUUUUCUUGAUCGCAUGAUUGAGAAAGGAAAGACGGCCUUUGUGCUGUCGCUUAUGGAUGGACCCGCGGCGUAUUAGUUAGUUGGUGAGGUAACGGCUCACCAAGACGAUGAUACGUAGCCGACCUGAGAGGGUGAUCGGCCACAUUGGGACUGAGACACGGCCCAAACUCCUACGGGAGGCAGCAGUAGGGAAUCUUCCGCAAUGGACGAAAGUCUGACGGAGCAACGCCGCGUGAGUGAAGAAAGGUUUUCGGAUCGUAAAACUCUGUUGUCAGAGAAGAACAAGUUGGAGAGUAACUGCUCCAGCCUUGACGGUAUCUGACCAGAAAGCCACGGCUAACUACGUGCCAGCAGCCGC